AAGGCUAACAAUUAGGCUGCUAACCUAAAAAUAAUGAAUUUCAUUUAGCCUUU
rnacentral:tRNA from 1 species